UACGAAGGGACCUAGCGUAGUUCGGAAUUACUGGGCUUAAAGAGCUCGUAGGUGGUUAAAAAAGUUGAUGGUGAAAUCCCAAGGCUUAACCUUGGAACUGCCAUCAAAACUUUUUAGCUAGAGUGUGAUAGAGGUAAGUGGAAUUUCUAGUGUAGAGGUGAAAUUCGUAGAUAUUAGAAAGAACACCAAAUGCGAAGGCAACUUACUGGGUCACUACUGACACUGAGGAGCGAAAGCAUGGGUAGCGAAGAGG
rnacentral:rRNA from 1 species